AUUCCCAUCACAAUCCAGGGGAACCGAGAGCUGAAGCUCCUUCAGCGGCAAAACGCGGAAGUGCCAACGGCAGAUUGUAGGAUCCUCAACAUUGGUAGCCUACUACCCAACGAGGGGGGGGGGGGGGCAAUGUGUGAUCCUUCAAAUGAACAAAGAAGCAGAAGAUCUGUGUCUCCCAAAAAGCGCCACCCCUAAGAUAAGGAUGCACACACCCUGCAAGUCGGCGGUGACCUGACGCUGGUAGUUAACCCGUCAGCUACAACUGAGCCAGCCAUCCAUGAUGCUGAGUGUGCUGCAGCUCAACUUGCAUAAAAGCAAGGUAGCUUCGGUGGAGCCCCCCUUGGCUAUGCUUGCAACGGGAAAUAGUACUCUGAUAUCUGGCUGGAAAGUCCUUAAAAGAUCAUCCUUCUCAGAUCAUAAGUACAUUCAGCUUAAGUGCGAAUUCAAGCACUCUUCGAAGAUAUCAGUCUAUAGAACCAUCGGAAUACAAACUGGGAAUCCGCUGAGGAUAUAGAGAGGUCCCAAGAGACAUCAUGCCAUCAGACACACAUCAUGCUAACCCUCAAGAACGAAGAAGAACACUAGAAAAGCUGCUGGAUUUCCACAUCAGGAAUGAGGUGAUUGGUAUAAAAAUCGAGAUAAAAGUUCGACUUGAUGGCUAGGAACAGCUGCAUCCCUCUACAGACAUAUUUGGUAUAACACUUAAAACCAGGUUGUGGUUAUCGUCAAAAUAUAACAAGCUUAAGGAACUCAUUUUUGUUGGCGAACAGCACGGCGUGGCUGACGUCGUUAAGGCGGCUAGAUGAGUGUGGGGAUACUGCUCAAGGUAUCCAACUCUGCAGUCGCCACUGCAAAAGUAUGCA